UACUCCCUGAAGAACUCGUACAAAAGCUGCGAGAAAAAAAGUACCAAAAUGAUGCACCUUCUGGGAAUGGACCUUCUUGUUGCUGUUGCCGUCGCACUGGCUGUGAUCAUCAUGGCUCCUAACGAAGCGGUUGCUCUGGGUGAUGGCGUCGGAGGCAUUAGUUCAAUUGGUUUGCCCAAGAAGUGAACGACUGCUGAAUAUGGAUCAAGCUCUGGCCAUUACUGCCGGCUAUUGAAUCGCUUUUCAAAUGCAAUCAAACUUUAAUACGUGAGAAGGA
rnacentral:lncRNA from 1 species